rnacentral:rRNA from 1 species
UACAGAGGUCCCAAGCGUUGUUCGGAUUCACUGGGCGUAAAGGGUGCGUAGGUGGCGAAGUAAGUCGGAUGUGAAAUCUCCGAGCUCAACUCGGAAAUGGCAUUGGAAACUACUUUGCUCGAGGGUUGGAGGGGGGACUGGAAUGCUUGGUGUAGCAGUGAAAUGCGUAGAUAUCAAGCGGAACACCAGUGGCGAAGGCGGCUCACUGGCCCGGAACUGACGCUGAGGUGCGAAAGCGUGGGGAGCAAACAGG